UUUUUUUUUUUUUUUUUUUUUUAAUUGAGGCAAAUGGCGUUUAUUCACUACUAAACACAGCUUAUAUACAUUUUUACCUAGAUAACCGUGCUGUCAUGUCCCACUCUGAUUAGUUCACACCAGAUAACAUUGUGCCUUAUUUGGCCAUUUCCACAUUCUUUUAUCAUCCUUCUUCUUCUCCUGUUUUCUCUGCAACAAGGUCAGCACGAUAGCACUAUCUCUCUAUGUUUAGGGAGAGGCCUGUCCCGUACAUCCCGUGCCCCCGCAAGACGCCUACUACAACAUCUCCCCCUCCCUAAGCUAGAUACUACUUACACACACACCUAACCCGUACAUCGCGAAGCAGCGCAAAACGCCUAAUCCUAAAUAUAUUUCAGCACACUAUUCCUACUAUUUUCUACUACAGUUCUUAAGCAAUCAUCAGAGCAACAGGGAAUUCUUUCCCGUGCUCGGCCAAGCCUUGCCCCGUUACAGCACGAACGCAACAACCUAAACCCCUCUAUAAUUUUUCACGCAAUCUAUGAUACUCAAUGUGAUAGUCAAAAGUCUUGUCCAUCAUUCGUUGAAGGCAGUUCUGCAAGCAUCCUACAAAGCAUGGAAGACAGAUUAGAAUACACACAAAGAUUGCAAAUCCUACUGCGAGAGCUUUAAGCAAUUGCUUUAACCAUGAACCCGUUCCCCCAAACAGUCCGUCCAGCCAGCUUCCAAAGGGAUCACGCUCUUCUUUAAUUUUCUGCAUAUGUUCUUGUGUCCAUUGUAGUUGUUUGUGACACUCUGUAAUCGCCAUGGACACCAUAAAUAUCAGCAACAUCGGAAGUGUCAGCGUUGCAGGUGUAGUGCUCCUCUUGAUGAAUGCUUCUUGAUCCCAUCGUCUGUCCCUCAGUUGUUCUGGAGUUGGCUUCGGUUUGCCAACGAAGAAUUUCUGUAGAAAACUCGCACCUAGACUCAGUUUUUGCAGAUAUGUUACUUAUAUCUGGUAUUACUUUUCGCGAUGGUACCCAGAGAAUUUUUCCCAGAUUCAUGAUGUUUAACUGCCACAUACCCGAUGACUGAUACCCUUUAGCAAGCCCUUCCUGUGAUCAGGAGGCCCUGACUGGCCUCCCCCACAGGGGCACUGUGCUCUAACAUGGCCAUACUGGCCGUAUCGGAAACACAGCCCUUGCUGCUGCAGCGAUCUUUGCUGUUGCAGGCCAACAGCUGCAACUAUAGCUGUGGCUAGCCCUUCAUUAGUUAAAUGAGCCACCUUGAGCUUAUCUAAGACAUACUGAAUAACUUCUCCCGGGGUAUUAAGCGUACUUGGGCCGGCUGGUAGCAAUGCCUUAACAUUGUCAUGUGAUUUCUGCUGCAGGCAGUCAAUGAUCACUGGCCCUUGGGCCGGUUCCGGGAGAUCAGACCCCUCUGCAGCAGCUAAAAGCCUGUCUGCAAAGCUUUGAAAGGAUUCAUUCGGGCCCUGGGUAAUAUCUGUGCACGGAGCAGGUGGUUCGGUCUUAUGCACAAGUUUAUUAAACGCUUCCACCAUUGCAUCUGUGGCUGCUAUUAGCUCCCCUGGCCUUAGUCUCGCUAGCUGGCCCUGGGGCGAAGCCACUCCCACAGCCUUCCCUGAAACCUCCGAAAUGCCAAUCUCAUGCAGGGAGCGGCGCGGGCCGACCCCUGUCGCCCCGGCACGGCCCCCCAACUCGGCCAUCCAGUCCGUCUCCCAUAACAUAUACUGACCAGCCUGAGCACCAUACGCAUUAAGUUUGUGAUGUCACGGGGGAGGAGAGGCCCCAGUGCAGCCAAAGUUUGUAGUGCAUUUAAUGUCAGAGGCGAUUUCAGGCCUCUUUUAUCCAUAAAUUCCACCAGGCGCGUAACACCCCGGGGUCAGGUGGCACCCAUUCGGGACCAUGAUCACUCACAAUCACCGGGAAUGCCUCUGGAACUAUACCCUUCCCCAGAGCCUCCGAUCUAAUCCCAUUCCAGUCCGUCAUUUGAUCCCUCCCCCUGCACUCAAAGCCAGUCCCUUCUUUCUCUUCUACACUAUCACUUGCACUACCGCCCCUGGGAGUGACCAGAGAUGGUAGGCUAUGCCCCCUGUCCGCAUUGGACGGACCUUUCGUCUGGUCCCUCCCCAUGUGGGCACUAAGUUGAUCCUGCCCAUGUAGAUCACAGCUUCCUCCGCCCCCUUGAGUCAGGUAACACUGACGUAAUUCUGAUAAAGGAUACAACGUUCCGCCUGAGGGGUUCGGAUACGGGAGAGGGGGACGAGACAUCGAACUUUCACUCUCUUGUUGUUUGUCUUCUUUUGAACUGAGCGCGGUCGGCUCAGCUGGCGCCAUCUCGCCAAUGGUCAUUGGCGGCUCCGUCUCCUCUCGGCCCCUGCAAGAAACUUCUCCCGAGCCCCCAUCGGACCCGACCAGGUCCGGUGUCUCGCCUCCUCCGCCGAGACCCAAAAGGUAUCGAGCCUCUGGCAAUACCUUUCCCUCAACUCUGGCCGCUUUCAACGCCCCCAGUAUCAGACCCCAAGUUUUUAACUCCACUGUUAUCUGAGAGACCAUUGCUCGUUGGGAUAAGGCAGCGGUAAACGAAUCCCAAUUAUUGUGGUCACAAAUAUCGUGGGGCGAUGUUAACAGCCCCUCCUUCUCAAGCAAAGAGAGGACCGCAGCAAUCUCCUUCUGAGAAGGAGCAUGCUUCCCGUGAUAGGUCUUACACGCGUGAGUGAUCACCUUUAUGACGGCUUCCAUGACGCCCCCGAUCCUCCUCCCAAUUGAGACCAGGAUCCCAGGCUCUUCUCCGGCGUGAUCCCGGAGGCUAUAUCCGUCGCUCGUCCAUGACCUCCGCCGACAGAGGGGUGACUGCAGAUUCCCUCUGUCCCCGGGCUCGGCCCCCGGGCUUCCACCGCCCAGCAAGUGCUAACGCCCCGCGGUGGGCUCCUGCCUCGUCAAGCAGACAGCCGACUCGUUCCCCUAAGCAUCACGUCAGGGGUCACCACUUGUUGCCUUCUGCAGGCAACCGUGAUGUUCGUUGCUUAGGGGAGCCUGCGGCUUGGCCACAUACCGAG
ensembl:lncRNA